rnacentral:tRNA from 1 species
GGCGGGAUAGCUCAGCCGGUUAGAGCAGCGGAAUCAUAAUCCGCGUGUCGGGGGUUCAAGUCCCUCUCCCGCUACCA